GCAGUCGUGGUUCAGUGGUAGAAUUUUCACCUUCCAUGCGGGAGAACCUGGGUUCAAUUCCCAGCCAAUGCA
rnacentral:tRNA from 1 species